GAAAAUGCUAGCGAAAUAUAUCACUCAGCAUCCCCUGUCCGUCUACAGGGAGAUCCAUGAGCCUCUCGGAAUCCAGAGAUACAAAAUGCAAUGCUGCACGUGCACACAAGUUCUAAGAGAGCAUGCAUAAUCAUGCUCGUAGGUACAGAUCAGUGCAGGGAUGGAAGUUAACUUAUCGUGACUCAAGCUGCAAAGUAAGAAAAACAUUGUGGCACCAAACCAGGCUCGGCCAGUGAGGGAAAAUGGAUCCAGAAGAAUUAAGGAUUUAAGAUUCAUAACAUAUUGGAGGCUUGAAAGUGCACAUACCCAUACAUUGGACGUUAAGCUCAACGAGACCAUGCGUCGCAUCUCAGGCACUAUCCGAUCUGCAGCCGCCACUUGCUGCUGUCAUUGAGUCACAUUGCCCCUUCUCACAUCCGACGACUCCAGGCGUUGAAGAGGGAAGCUGAGAAGAUCACGAAUAACCCCCGCAAUGCCUGUCCACGAAGAAUUCUGCCGCCCAACCCCUCGGCAUCUGAAAUCCUGGAAUCCUGGGAGCCUGAGCAGCUUUAAUAUUUCGGAUAGGUAGAAAGCGGAAUGGUCUGCUAUAUCUGACCUGACUGAAAAACCAAAAGGUUUCACCUUCCUCGGAAAAUCUGGUGCCGCCUGAACAGGCUGAGAACCGGACAUGGCCGCUGCAAUGCAGCCACACACAAAUGGAGAUAGACGGCUUUCCCACUUUGCGAAUGCGGAGAGGAAAAGCAGACCACUUAGCAUAUGUUCCAACGCUGCCCACUCCACUCAUACCCUGCUGAGGAUCUGAAGACCGUGACACCUGACUUUGUGUUGCUUGACUUGGCAACCUCAAGGCUACACUCUGAAUGCCCUCAUUUUAUAUAAUUGCUAUAUGGUUAAAUAAAUAAAUAAAUAAAAUAUAGCUAUCGAACGAGAAGGCUUAUGGCUUCAGCCAAGAAAAGUUCUCACAUUCCGGCUGGGACACCUCUCAGCAACUGGCAUGUCCAUGCAUUUCGAAUACCAAGUCAAUAGUCAAAGUUUUUAUUUGUUAAACAUUAUGCAGGUAAAACUAUUACAGUGAUGUAUAAAAGGUUUUUUACAAACUUUAAAGUUGCAAUGUAUGUAUCAAGUCCUGCAAGAUAAAUUAGACCCCACUUCCGUUUAUUCGAAGGAUUACUGACUUGAAUUAGAAUCGUUUGUCUUUAUCUGGCAUUUUGACUUACAUGUAUUUCUAAGAACGGGAUAAAACAUAAUUUAACUAAAUCGGGCCUGUAAAGUUUUAUGAAUAAGGGGGUGUCUUUUUAUAGUUUAUUCCGCAAUCAUUAGUAUUUUCUUAUUUAUAAACUAAAACUACCUAAAAAGUGAAAAACCUACAAAUAAAAAAUUGGCCCCAAGUCUGUCCCCUCUGUGUAGGGUGCCCAGAAGGCUGGCGGCGUUACCGCGCUGAACGGCAACGCCAAUGCGUUGGGCGAGGUAAGCUCCACCCUUCCGGUCAUCCGUUGCAUCUAUUAAGGCGCAUUAGGCGCUUGGCUAACUCUUUAUAAACGCUGUGCGCGCCUUGACCCCACGGCCCAAGCGUCUCCAAACCAAACGGCUCAAGGUUUAGGUGGUUUUAGUUUAGUAUGUUUAGUUAUUAGUUUAAUUUCUUUAUUAAUAUUAUAAUUAUAUAUUACUUUUAUGUUUAGAUUAUGUGUUAUUCUAUCUGUUUAUAAACUGAAAUAGAUGUCAUACACUAAAGAUAAAGUGAUCAACUCCCACCGGUGGCGGCACGCAGAUAGUCAAAAAUUCUUUAAUGUUAUCGUUAUCGUUGAAAGGCUAACCUUUGCCUUUGACCGACUCUAAGGGCGAGCAGUACUUUUUUUUACCUAACUGCGUCAGGAGGGUAAUGUUAAAUAGGCUAUAUAAAUUUUGAAAAUGAUGCCCCAAAUUGAAAAAAUAGGGGGAAGGGUGGGGUCUUACCCUUACCAUAGUAAUAUGGAUUUAAAAUGAAAGCUAGCGAGAAGACCAUUCCAAAAAUAUAUAAAAAUAUUUUGGCAAUAGUUGUUUUAUUUACCCAUUUAUAAUAUU